rnacentral:rRNA from 1 species
AGGACGAACGCUGGCGGCGUGCUUAACACAUGCAAGUCGAGCGGAAAGGCCCUUCGGGGUACUCGAGCGGCGAACGGGUGAGUAACACGUGAGUAAUCUGCCCCUAGCUCUGGGAUAGCUCCGGGAAACCGGGAUUAAUACUGGAUACGACCACCUUAGACAUCUUUUGUGGUGGAAAGAAUUUCGGCUAGGGAUGAGCUCGCGGCCUAUCAGCUUGUUGGUGGGGUAACGGCCUACCAAGGCGACGACGGGUAGCCGGCCUGAGAGGGCGACCGGCCACACUGGGACUGAGACACGGCCCAGACUCCUACGGGAGGCAGCAGUGGGAAUAUUGCGCAAUGGGCGAAAGCCUGACGCAGCGACGCCGCGUGGGGGAUGAAGGCCUUCGGGUUGUAAACCCCUUUCAGCAGGGACGAAGCGAAAGUGACGGUACCUGCAGAAGAAGCGCCGGCUAACUACGUGCCAGCAGCCGC